UAAGACGAACCGAGCGAACGUUGUUCGGAAUCACUGGGCUUAAAGGGCGCGUAGGCGGGCCGCCGCGUCCGGGGUGAAAUCCUCCCGCUCAACGGGAGAACGGCCUCGGAUACGGGCGGUCUGGAGGGGGGUAGGGGCGUGCGGAACUGUGGGUGGAGCGGUGAAAUGCGUUGAUAUCCACAGGAACUCCGGUGGCGAAGGCGGCACGCUGGACCCCACCUGACGCUGAGGCGCGAAAGCCAGGGGAGCGAACGGGAUUAGAUACCCCGGUAGUCCUGGCCCUAAACGAUGGGUACUAGGUAGUAGACUUGACAUGGGUUUACUGCCGGAGCCAAAGUGCUAAGUACCCCGCCUGGGGAGUAUGGUCGCAAGGCUG
rnacentral:rRNA from 1 species